rnacentral:lncRNA from 1 species
AAAAAUCUAAAAAACAUGAUCUUUGAAAAGCCAAAGCCUAUAUUUGUUAGCUUCACUUUAAAAGUAAUUUUUGAAUACAAUUCAAAAAAUUUAAAAAUUACAUUUCUUAUAUAGAAACGUGAUCUUUAAAAAAUCGAAGCAUGUAUUUGAAAACGUUGUUGAUAAUUUAUGAGAGAUAAUUUUUUUGGUUUCAAAAUGUGAUUGAUAAUAAAUAAAAAGAGUUAGAUAUAAAAAUUGUUUAAGUUGCAUUUUGUAUGUUAAAAAUGUAAUUUUUGAAUCACAAAAAUCAUGUUUUUUAUAUAAAAAAUGUAAUUUUAACAAAAAAAAAAAAGCACAUUUUGAUAACAUCUUGACUCCUUCUAAGAUAAGCCACGUGUCACAGUUGGUGUUUCUUUUUUCCUUCUCUCAUUUUUUUUACAUGUGCUAGAGGUUGUGUGCAAACUUAUUUUUUUAUCUAAAAAAAUGGCAUAGAGGUGGGUGAGAGAGGAUUUCCAUUUUUUGUUCUUUUUCUUCCUUUUCUUUAUCUUACCUACUAAAGAAAGGGUUGGAUGCUUUGAGGGAAAGCAGAAAGAAGAAGAGGGAAGAAAUGAAGUGAUAGGGUGAAAAUAAAGAGAUCAAGCUAUCUUAGGCUGUUCCAAUGUAAGAGCCACUAGCGCUUGCCAUUUUUGGGUUCAUUUUUUAAAAACUUUUUGAUUAGAUACUUUUUUAGAUCUAGAUUCUUUGAGAUCAUUUUCUUUUAUGAAACGACUAAUAAUGGAAGAGUAAUGUGGUUAUGUUAGCGAUUAAAGAAUGGCAAAAUGAUCCUCAUAAUUUUAGAUAACCUCUAGUAGAAACUUAGCCUUGAAGCUGAUGAGAUCUCAUUUGAUAAUGAAGCCUCUAAAAAUUUUCAACUGCUGGAUGCAAAAUAUUGCUAACUUCUAUAAGCCUUGAAAAGGACCUGCAAUUGAACAAACAUUAUCUUGCAGUUUGGAGGAUUUGUACAAAGAGACUACCAAGAAAAUGAAGAUUUCUAGGGAUGUUUCUGAUGGUAGCGGGUAUUCUUUUACUUUCGAUUAUUUGGAUUAUAGUUUUCCUUUUUUUGCAAGUUAAUGUAAUUGGGUAAUGUGUAGUGUCUCUAUAUUAUUUUUGCUAUAGUAUUGUAUUGGGUUGGAUUCACUAGAAAGCAUAAGAGGACUAUAAAGGUGGCCGCAACCUUGAUGUUUGGUUGCCAGUGUCUGAUAUAGGUAUAGCUCUUAGAUAACUACUUUUCUAGAUUGCUACGAGUCAUUAAUUCCCAAAUUUAGAAACUAAAGUACUCUACAUAUUUCCUGAAUAAUUUCUAAUUGCUGGCUAUCUUUAAUCGAUUAGUUAUCUUAGGGGUCCAUCCCAUUUAUUUUGAAUUAGAGUGGAAAGAUAAAGUUUUGAAGUUUUGAAACGAAAUAUCAAGAAGAUCAUUUUCUAAUAUAUAUUGAUCUUUGACUUCAUCAUAGCUAUGAAGCUAUUGCAAGGCAAUAAAUUUUAGGGUACAGGUUUAGCUUUACUUCUACUUUUAGCAAAGUUUCAUUAUUUUUACAAUUCAUCUCAAAAAAAAAAAAGUUGUACUCUUACAUCUCGCCCAUUAUCAUGUAUGCAUUUAGUGGAGUUUUUAUUUUUAUUUUUACAUAUUUUUGUUUUUCAUGUUCAUUGAAUUGAAUUAUUCUUAUGUUUUUUAGUACCAUAUUCCUAUUUUUAAUUCUGUAUAUAUUCAAUGAUACAAAUUUUAAAUUAUGGAUGUAUUCUUGAUUGAGUUUAAUCUAUUUGAUAUUAUCUCAUUUUUGGAAAUCAUUGUUUUGGCAUUAUCUGUUUAUUGUUAACAUUUGAUUUAAAAUCUUGAUUCUUGACUGAUUUAUUAGAUAUCCAGAUUUGAUUUUAUCUCAUCACAUCUAAUGUUUCAAGAUUGUGUGUGAAGUGUUCAUUGAUAUCAAAUCCUUAAUAGGUAUGCAAAUAAUAACAUACAUCUAAAAGUAUGUUUUCUAUAUUGAAUUCAUGAUUAAAUGCUCAGGGUAUCAUUUUAAUUGAAAAUCAAUGUUUUGGUAUUAUCUGUUUAUGGGCAACAUGAGAUUUAAUAUCUUCGUUGAUUUGUUUUUUAAUCUUAUUAUAUCUUAUUCUAUAGGUGUCUUUUAUCUUUUAUAUACAUGAUUAGAUAUCAAAAAAUCUUUAAAAAUAUUUGCUGAAGUUCAUCAAAAUAUAGGUACUCAUGAAAUCAAAUCAAUGUCAUUCAUAUAUAAUGACAUGCAUAGAACAAAGCUUGCAAUUAAAGCCUUUCAUUGUGAUGAUGUGCAUAAAUAUGGUGUAAACACCAUAUUUUAUCUGGGGAUUUUCUUGAAAUUCAUUAAGUUUUGAAUAUUGGGCACUAAUUCAAAAGUUUUGGAUCCGAGAAUUAAAAGUCAGAAAAUCUUAAUUUUAAUUUUAAUUUUAAUUUAUUUUGUUAAUUUCAUGAAAAAAAAAAAGGGGAAAAAAGAAGUAAAAAAUAAAUAAAUAACGUGUGAAUUGGUUCCUUGAAGAUUUUGGAUUCUGAUUUUGUGAAACUUAAUGAUGGAUUAAUUUAGGAAAAUUUAAUUCCCAAUUCAAUGAAAAAAAGGAAAGAUUGUAUAAAAAUUUAAUCCUAGAAGAUUUGUCAUAGAUUCGGUAGAAUUUCAUAAUUUUCUAGUUCAAAGGUAUUGAAUCCUUAUAAAAGAGACCCAAUCUGUGAAUCAUGGAGCUGGACAGUAGCAUAUCAAUCAAGAUCAACUAGGGGCCUAUUGAAAAGCAUGAAAAAGAAUUAUCAAGCAAGAACAGGCAUCAAGCAGCAAGCAAAUUUCUUAGAAAGAUUUCGAGUCUAUUUUUCGAUAUUCUUUAGACCAGGAAUGAGCAAAUGAAAAAGUGAGUUGCUCAAUGGCUUUGGAGGCGAUAAUUUAUGGUGGAGCUUAGGGUAUGUUAACAUAAGGCUAUAGAAAAAAGGAAAGAAAUAUGGAAAAAAAAGUUGCUUAAAAACACAACACUUUGCUUGAAAAAAAAAGGAACAUUCUGGAAGUUUAAGCAAAAGAGGAAAGUUAAAAGAAGGCAAGGAUCCAACGAUUAGCACUUGGCCCAAUUAGUGGAAGCCUAACUCAAGUUUCAAGACUUGGACCAAGUUAAGAUUUAAACUGACUAGGCUAACAAUAACCUUGCCUAAGCCCAAUUUUGGUAAUUUCUUUUUUUUUCCUUGUUUCAAUUUUGUUAUUUUUAUUUUUAUCUUUAAAAUAAAAAAAAUUUUGAUAAGAUAUUUUAUAAUUUGUAUGUUUUAUUUAUGAUUUUAUUUGCAUGAUUUUUUUUAUUAUUUAUUUUUCAUGAAUUUAAUUUAAUUGUAUGUUUUUGCAUGGAUAGUGUAUAUAUAUAUAUAUAUAUAUAUAUAUAUGCACGAGUUUGAUUAUUUGCAUGAUUAUUAAUAUUUUAUUUGUGUGAUUUUUUUGCAUGAUAUUUUAAUAUUAUUGCAUGCUAAUUUAUAUUAUAUUUGCAUGAUUUUAUCUAUAUGAUUAAUAUUAUAUUUGCAUGUUUAAUCUAUUUGCAUGAUAUUUUAUAUUAUUACUUGAUAUUUUAUAUUAUUAUUUGAUAUUUUUGCACAGAUAUUUUCGUGUGAUCUUGGUAUGAUUUUAUAUUUAAUUACAUAUUUAUUUGCAUGAUUUAUAUUAUUAUUUACAUGAUUAUAUAUUUAAUUGCAUAUCUAUUUGCAUGAUUUAUAUUGUUAAUUGCAUGAUUAUAUAUUUAAUUGCAUAUCUAUUUAUUUGUGUGAUUGUAUGGUUAUUAAUAUAUUUAUUUGCACGGUUAUUUAUUAUUAUUAUUAUUGCAUGAUUUUAUAUUUAUUGUAUGAUAUGAUAUUAUAUGUUAUUGCAUGAUUAAUAUUAUAUUUGAUUGAUAUCGAAUUGCAUGUGUACAUAAUUGAAUGUUAUAUUUAAUUAUAUAAU